AGUCCCGUGGUGUAGCGGCCAAUCAUGAGGGCCUUUGGAGCCCUCGACGGCGGUUCGAAUCCGCCCGGGACUA
rnacentral:tRNA from 1 species